rnacentral:rRNA from 1 species
GACGAACGCUGGCGGCGUGCCUAAUACAUGCAAGUAGAACGCACAGUUUAUACCGUAGCUUGCUACACCAUAAACUGUGAGUUGCGAACGGGUGAGUAACGCGUAGGUAACCUGCCUGGUAGCGGGUGAUAACUAUUGGAAACGAUAGCUAAUACCGCAUAAUAUUGAUUAUUGCAUGAUAAUUGAUUGAAAGAUGCUAUUGCAUCACUACCAGAUGGACCUGCGUUGUAUUAGCUAGUAGGUGAGGUAACGGCUCACCUAGGCGACGAUACAUAGCCGACCUGAGAGGGUGAUCGGCCACACUGGGACUGAGACACGGCCCAGACUCCUACGGGAGGCAGCAGUAGGGAAUCUUCGGCAAUAGACGAAAGUCUGACCGAGCAACGCCGCGUGAGUGAAGAAGGUUUUCGGAUCGUAAAGCUCUGUUGUAAGAGAAGAACGGGUGUGAGAGUGGAAAGUUCACACUGUGACGGUAUCUUACCAGAAAGGGACGGCUAACUACGUG